rnacentral:rRNA from 1 species
AGAACCUGCCUCCAGGCUGGGGACAACAGUUGGAAACGACUGCUAAUACCCAAUGUGCCGAGAGGUGAAAGAUUUAUCACCUGGAGAGGGGCUCGCGUCCGAUUAGCUAGUUGGUGGGGUAAGAGCCUACCAAGGCGUCGAUCGGUAGCUGGUCUGAGAGGAUGAGCAGCCACACUGGGACUGAGACACGGCCCAGACUCCUACGGGAGGCAGCAGUGGGGAAUUUUCCGCAAUGGGCGAAAGCCUGACGGAGCAAUACCGCGUGAGGGAGGAAGGCUUUUGGGUUGUAAACCUCUUUUCUUAGGGAAGAAGAAAGUGACGGUACCUAAGGAAUAAGCAUCGGCUAACUCCGUGCCAGCAGCCGCGGUAAUACGGAGGAUGCAAGCGUUAUCCGGAAUUAUUGGGCGUAAAGCGUCCGCAGGUGGCACUUCAAGUCUGCUGUCAAAGACCAGAGCUCAACUCUGGGCAGGCGGUGGAAACUGGGGAGCUAGAGUACGGUAGGGGUAGAGGGAAUUUCCAGUGUAGCGGUGAAAUGCGUAGAGAUUGGAAAGAACACCAGUGGCGAAGGCGCUCUACUGGACCUGUACUGACACUAAGGGACGAAAGCUAGGGGAGCGAAAGGGAUUAGAUACCCCUGUA